rnacentral:misc_RNA from 1 species
GAAAUACUGCUCUUAUAAGCCAAUACUAUUAUGGCUGUCUUUUCCAUGAGCUGCUAUCGUUUCAGCUUGCUGAUCGACGUCCACCUGCUGAGAGAGAAAACGAGAAGUUGAAAUCACCCAAGAUGAUUGGCUUUCCUAGCUCUGUCAACUCAGUACUCAAUCAUGCAGAGUUAUCUGUUACUGAUUCAGACAAUGCUCUGAUUCACAUGGAUGUGGAUCAAAGUUUUUUACCUAUACCAACUCCUGUCAAGGCAGCCAUCUUUGAGAGUUUUGUGAGACAGAACAUUGCAGAGUCAGAAAUUGAUGUCACAGGCAACAUUAGACAGCUAAUUGAGAGUAGUUAUGGUUUCUCAACGAACAGCAAGACGGAAUUCAUAUAUGCUGACUGCCCUCUAGCUCUUUUUAGUAAAUUGGUACUUUGUUGCAUCCAUGAAGGUGGGACUCUAUGCUUCCCAGCUGGCUCAAACGGUAGUUAUGUGUCUGCUGCAAAAUUUGUGAAAGCAAAUAUAGCUUAUAUCCCUACGAACCCAGAGGAUGGGUUCAAAUUGACACAGAAAACAGUUGAAAGUUUUUUGAAGACCAUCGACAGACCUUGGAUUUUU